CCUACGGGUGGCAGCAGUGGGGAAUAUUGCACAAUGGGGGAAACCCUGAUGCAGCGACGCCGCGUGAGUGAAGAAGUAUUUCGGUACGUAAAGCUCUAUCAGCAGGGAAGCAAAUGACGGUACCUGACUAAGAAGCCCCGGCUAACUACGUGCCAGCAGCCGCGGUAAUGCGGAGGGGGCAAGCGUUAUCCGGAUUUACUGGGCGUAAGGGGAGGUUAGACAGUGGCGCAAGUCUGGAGUGAAAUCCCAUGGCUUAACCAUGGAACUGCUUUGGAAACUGGGCAGCUAGAGUGCAGGAGAGGUAGGCGGAAUGCCUAGUGUAGCGGUGAAAUGCGUAGAUAUUAGGAGGAACCCCAGUGGCGAAGGCAGCUUGCUGGACUGUAACUGACGUUGAGGCUCGAAAGCGUGGGGAUCGAACAGGAUUAGAUACCCGGGUAGUC
rnacentral:rRNA from 1 species